CAAAAAUUAACCGGUUAAAAAAACAGUAACGAAUCUCGUCACCCCGCUCGAUCUGGAUCACCCCGCUCGAUCUGGAUCUCGUCGGCGGCGGCUCCUCCCCACGCACCGACGCAUCCCCAGAGCCCUCCCCACCUCCUCCCAGAACCGGCGACUUCGCCUCCCGCCGUGGCCCCCUCUCUUCCCCUCCCCUCGUCGCAGAUCGAGCGACAACCGCGGUGUGGGCGGGCGACGCCAACGCGCUGCUCCUGCUCGGCCACCCGGGCCCGUCCAUCGCCUGCUCGCCUCCCGCAGCGUCUUCUCCGAGCACACAACCGACGGUGGCCGGAGGCUGUACACGCUUGUGCUGUCGUGGCCGCGGCUCCACAAGGCCGUGCGCGACCCAGCCAGCGCCAAGCCCUUCGCGCACGCCCACGCCGGCGUCCCCGCCUAAACCUACUACACCCAGGACCGGGAGGCGAACAGGUGAUGCUCGACGACGAACAUCUGCUUGAGGACACCUUGCUCGACGAUGCUCGUCUCCGCUAGCAUCUCCAUUGCAUGAUAGGGGGAGAGUUCUUGUACUCAGAGUAGCUGUUGAUCUGCAGCAACUCUAGAAGUAGGAUUUAGGAUAAUCAUAGUUUCAGUUUGCCAAGCAGGGAGUAUAAUUUAACUGGAAAUCAACCAACUAUUGCUUUGAACUGGAGUAUAAUUACUGAAGCGGGUCGAAGUGGGACGAUUUGGUUCGGUGGUCAACGACGGCUGCGCGGGAUGCAGUAUGGUAUGGCUUGAGCAUCUCGAGGAGGGGCUCUCUCUGCAUGGCAUCCUCUACGCCACGGCGGAGGUGUUCGAGUAGUCUGUCCCGGGGCUGCGCGUGGAGCACGUCGACGUCUCCGUCUUGCCAUUGCUCAGCACCGCCCUGCCGGCUGGGGUUCUUAUUUGCCAUCGAGGCCUUCCGCAACUGGGACCAUGGUGCCUGAUAGCUUCCUCUCCGGCUGGAUCGGCAGUCUAUCCACCCAUUUAUUGGCUGGCAGGAGGAGUGUAAUGUUGAGAUCAAUGUCGGGAUCCGCAGGUUUCUACGGCGUAGCAUCAGAUUAAUAUUGCCAAGCCUGAGCUGGCGGUUCAUAUGGAAGAUCCCAUGGGCCAGCAGCUGGAGCCUGGAAGCAGAUGUUAAUGCUCCAUAGCAGAGAGUUUAGGUUUACAGCAAGCAGCGACUACCAAAUUUUCCAUGUAGGAUAUAAACGGAAAUUGUAAUGGAGAUGGUUGCCAUCAGUUCCAUUUUGUUGCACAUCACAAGCCUUGCCACUCAGAUCGUCGCUGUGGCCAGAUCCGGCCGGGGGAGCCGCCAUAGAGCCGACACCUCGGCGGCGCAGCAGCAGCCCGACAGAAGGUGGGUGCUCGAGCUCAUCCAGCAGCUCGUCAUCGACCAGGAGGCCUCUACCUCGACUGCAACCGUCCGUGGAUCUCUAUUGCAAGCACCUUGUAUCUACUGAUGUUCUUCCGCCCAUCUAAAUUCCACAUGUUUUUUUUUGACGGGAUCUAAAUUCCACAUGUUGUUAUAUGAGUGGUACAGCUGCAUGGAUUGGCGAUAUGAGUAUUUGUACAAACCGCCGAGGACCUCAAGUUCACAUGGUUCGUGCUUCUUUACGUACGAACUCUACAUAUGACAACCAGCAGAUCAAUUGGUGCCAUCUCCGAUUUCACUGGAUGCAUGUAUUUAACAUACUACUUUUUUUAGUAGGCAUCAAACUUGGUUCAGUUUCAGGCCUGAUGAGUAUCAAGCAGAUUGGGUUCUCCAAGGAAUGCCAAUACGAACUCACUUUUUGCAACACACAUGCUCAUCCAAUUGGGCAGUCAGCUGGGAGGUAGACAAUACCUUUUUCCUCUUUCACAAAUAAAAUAUUUUGAUACUCAAGAUUGGAUAUCAAGGCAUUAUUUUAUAUCAAUUUCUUGAGCCAAGGUCAUGGAAGGAACUAUUUUUUCUCUUGUUGCAACACACAGGCUCAAGGGUACAGGUGCAUGAACCCCUACUUAUAUAUAGGCAUUUUCACGUGUGUGUUGGAGCUUUGUCUGAUCGUAUACACUGAUUAGUGCAUGGGUCCUGUUGAUUGAGGAUGCUUUGAUGGGUAGGGGAUUCCAUGAAAGAGCUGGUGUGGAUUAAUAUCCUUUGGGUUUCUACAUGGCGUGGCCCUGACAUUUAUCAGGCACUAGAAUAAAUCUGAAUUGUGUGUAGCGGUUGUCCAUCUACUUAGUUAUUGUAGGCAUUAUGUUUCACAUAAAUAUAGAUAUAUUUGAAUCAUGAGUAACUACAUGUCCACUCUUCGUCCAAAGUUUUUGCUUCUACAAUAUGAUUGGACUAUUUAGUUCGCAUCCUUCUCCCUUUGCAGAUUCUAAUGCAUUUUGAAAUUGUUCAUGUGCUUCAUUUUUGCACUCUUGCUACUCUCUGGAGAAAUUAUUUGCUCUACCUAAAGCAUGGCUCCUAUGUUGGUAUUCAUGGCCAAUCUAGCUAUUUUAUGAUUAUUAAAUUGUUUGCACUAAUGUACUACCUGCUUACUCUUGGGAGUGUGGAUGACUAUGAUUUUCUUUAUGCUUAUUAUGUGCAAGCAUAGUGUUCUUUGCACAAGCAUGAUGAUGAUCGAAUAAAUUAUAGUUCUCUGAAUGCAUCCUUUUGUCAUUAGGUGAUGUUUUAGGAAAAGAUCCUUGUGUGUUGUUGAAUUGUUUACAAGAAAACAACUAUUCGGGAGUACAUAGAGAUAGAGUGCUUUUUAUUAGUAGAAGCAAGAUAGAGUUGAUGUCGAUUAGACUUAACCAUGUUUCUUCAAAUUUAAUGGUUUGUCAUAUGAAAACUAUUGAACUAAAAAUAAUCUAGCGAGCAAUAAUAAAAUGAAGAAUAAGGCAUCCUAUCCCAGAAUCCUAUGAGUGAAUAGUAGCCCAAUACAGUGGCGAAAUAAAAAUGCUUUGUUUGGAUACCAGGCAAAAAAAUAGUUCACAUAGAGAGACUUUAUUAGUUGCAGAGUAACAACACUACCACAUACAAGGGUGUAAUUAAAGAGACUAACUCAUCAACUGGAGUGAGAUACUUAUUGCUCUAUUUGUAGUGAAGAUGGCCCCUUUUGGAGUGAGGCGCAGCUAUAGUUGCUCUAUGUUGUGAGAAUACCCAAGCCCUCAAAUGCCGAGAGGCUUCUCUGGUUAUGGGUUGCACAUUCAAAAAGCAAGAUUGUAAGUUAAUGAUUCGCCGAGUUGUUUCUCUGCUAACUGUUUUCUGUUAAUGGCUGAAACCUUGUGCUGAUCCCUUUUUUCUGCUUGUUCUAAUUAGAGUACACCGGCUAGAUAUGGUUCUCAAGUAUGCAUCAAUACAAAUUAUUCCAAACAUUGUUGCACUAUGCUGCAUGUAGCUUUUGGUGCGAUAUAACAUUUUCUCUAUCUUCUUACAUUGUCUACUUAAUUUCUUAGACAACUAGCUCGAAAUUUGGAUAUGGUAAUAUGUGCCUUCAAGUUUCUAAGGUUCCUGGAGAGUUUAACCACUUCAUACAUCUCCCUUUUAGAAACUUGUACUUAGUAGGUCAUUUGUCGUAUGAUAUAUCAGAUUUAUUUGUUUGAUGAAUAUUGAUAGUCAAUCGAUUUUUAUAUAAACGUGUAAUAAGUAGUGACUGCUGCAAAGUUUACUUGGUCUUCGAUUUUUAUAUUUCAGAAGACUGUCCUAGGGAUGUUAGGUUUAUAUUUUAAUUGCUGGUUAUUUCAUUACUGGAGCACCCAAAGUGGUUAUUUCAUCCGUAUAUAAAGCCCCAAUUAGGCCUUGUUGCUUGAGAUGGUGGUUAAGGCGACAUGACAGCUGUCAAGGAGGAGAGGAGAGAAUAUUAGUUUGUCUCUAUAUGAAUGCAAACCAUAUGUCAACAUGAUCGACAUACAUUUCUGAAUUUAAACGAUUGUUUAAUCACUAUUUUCCGUUAGUCCAUUGGCAACACACAAACAUUCAACUAACCAUUGUUGCUGUGCUUCUUGUUGACAGUUCGGGGUUAGAAGGGAGAAGUUAGAUUGAUUUUCUGCGUGCGUGUGCAAGCUCGGUUUAACCUAUGAGGCUCACUGGUAUAGUUAUUUUUUGAAUAUGCAAUCUGAAUAAACAUAGGUAAAACAUUAUGGUGGAAUCUUGCGACAGGGGCAGAAGUUAGAAUCUUGAGACAAUGCUAUAACUCCUUGUCCUUGGUAGUUUGGACUUUGUAAUAAUUAUCCUAGAUAGAUGCUAGAAUGGUAGUAAUACCCAGUAAACCCAUAUUUAGCAAUGGCCAUGCAUGUCUUUUAGAAACAAUCAUCCUUUUAAUAUUAGGUAGAGAUAUCUAAACAGACUUGAUGUUUUUCUAUUAAAGUUUGUUUUAUGUAGAUACUGAAAUUAGCAACGCCAAACUUUUAAUCUGGAAAUAUCACUUAUUCACUUUAGAGUACCUUGGUCUAUAAAUGUGUUGCGCUGCUGUAUUUUAAAGACGCGGUUUGUAUUGGAAAAGAUUGCAUUAAAGAUGGUGUCGAUACUGACGACGGGCUGCCUUGCACGGCAAGGGAUGGGGGUACAAGGAUUGGCCUGCGGUGCCGCACCUUGUUGUUCCCUGCCAGUGGCGGGCGAGCUGCGGGGGCGCAAGGCGUGGCAUCUGCAGUGCCACUCCUGGGGCAUGCCUCUCCGGUGACAUUGCCAGCGUACACAACAUACCUUAUUGCAUGGGGAUUUCAUCUCUGAAGUAAAUAUUACGUUAGAACUGAAUAUUACGUCCGAAGACUGAAACAUCCAGAAAGCUUAUUGAGACUAUUCAUUUAUGGUGUUUCACUACUACACGAGGGAGGUAAUUGUCUUUUAUGUGCUUCCUUUUCCAUUUCAAUGCACCGUUGUGUUAUUUUGGUUGAAAAAUUAAAGUUACUACAUAUUUUCAUGGUUUAUGAAAAGUAGCUGAGAUCCGUUGUUUUUUUCCUACUUAGUGAGGAAAUUCCGGUGAAGCUAAAGUUGGUGGUGUUCAUCUUUUUUUUUUCUCUACAAUUUAGUACUCUUGACAUCGUUGCUAAAAUUUAUCAUUUCAAAAGAUCAGUGUAGUAGUGCAGGCUAACAAAACCGUAUUUUCUACAAACCUGAGGUAGACAAACAUAACAACUGAUGAAAGAAGAACAUACUUGUACCUUGUUGCCCGCUGACUAUAAACAGAAGAACAUUGAAACACUCGUUACUGCAUUAUAUUUUUUAAUUGCAAUAGUAUUUUGAUAAUGCAUGAAGAAUAUGCUGAGUGUUUCUUCAUUUAGUUGCAUGUGCCAAUUAGGCAUGGACAACGAUGGCCACGAUCCCAUUAUCGCCAGCUCACGGGAGGGAGACACACAUCUCAUCCAGUGGAAAAGCACGCUCCGAAAAAUCCCUAACCCUCCAUGGAGCCAUUGUCAAGGUUACGAGAUCAACGCCACCCACCACCACCACCGAGUUGUAGAUGGCGUGUCGUGGUGCUCCCUGGCUCUUCCCGCCUCUUGAGAGACCACAUGGGUUUCUGGCGCAAUUUUUGGCCAAGGCUGGAAGCCAAUAACACUUCUUAAUUUUGAUCAUGGAUGUCAUAUUGUGGUCGGCGGUGUGUGGUGCGGUGCAGUUCUUGCCUGGCGUAUAACAACUAGAUCGGCAGCGCGCCUUGGCGCAAGGUGCCGGUUUCAACGAUGUAAUGGUGAAGUUAGUAGAAAGCCAGGCUUAUCAUAUGUAUUCAAUCAGGAUAAAAAAAUAAUAAAAAAGAAACAUUCAAGUGUAAUCGGAGCAAGACAACAUCAAUGGAUACCAAAACUACAGUACAACA